rnacentral:lncRNA from 1 species
CUCAUCAGGCCGGAGCAGCUGGCCCAUGUCCUGGGGCACUAGGGAAGCUUGGUCAUCCUGCAGUGCGUGGUCCGCACCAGGAUCAGCUACACCCACUGGUACCAGCAGAAGGGCCAGGUCCCUGAGGCACUCCACCAGCUGGCCAUGUCCAAGUUGGAUGUGCAGUGGGAUUCCAUCCUGAAAGCAGAUAAAAUCAUAGCCAAGGAUGGCAGCAGCUCUAUCUUGGCAGUACUGAAGUUGGAGACAGGCAUCGAGGGCAUGAACUACUGCACAACCUGGGCCCUG